UACGUAGGGGGCAAGCGUUGUCCGGAAUUAUUGGGCGUAAAGCGCGCGCAGGCGGUCUUUUAAGUCUUGUGUAUAAGCCCGAGGCUCAACUUCGGGAGGCAUGGGAAACUGGAAGGCUUGAGUGCAGAAGAGGAGAGUGGAAUUCCACGUGUAGCGGUGAAAUGCGUAGAUAUGUGGAGGAACACCAGUGGCGAAGGCGACUCUCUGGUCUGUAACUGACGCUGAGGCGCGAAAGCGUGGGGAGCAAACAGG
rnacentral:rRNA from 1 species